rnacentral:misc_RNA from 1 species
GAUGAAGAACGUAGCGAAAUGCGAUAAGUAGUGUGAAUUGCAGAAUUCAGUGAAUCAUCGAAUCUUUGAACGCACAUUGCGCCCCUUGGUAUUCCAUGGGGCAUGCCUGUUCGAGCGUCAUUUGUACCCUCAAGCUUUGCUUGGUGUUGGGUGUUUGUCUCUUCCCUUGCGGGGAGACUCGCCUUAAAGUAAUUGGCAGCCAGUGUUUUGGUAGUAAGCGCAGCACAUUUUGCGUCUUGGUCCCUAAAUAAUGGCAACCAUAAGCUCUUUUUCACGUUUGACCUCGGAUCAGGUAGGGAUACCCGCUGAACUUAAGCAUAUCAAUAAGCGGAGGA